UCCGAAGGGGGCUAUCGUUGUUCGGAAUCACUGGGCGUAAAGCGCGUGUAGGCGGAUAUGCAAGCAAGAGGUGAAAGCCCAGGGCUUAACCUUGGAACUGCCUUUUGAACUGCAUAUCUGGAGUUUUGGAGGGGAGUGUGGAAUUCCUAAUGUAGAGGUGAAAUUCGUAGAGAUUAGGAGGAACACCGGUGGCGAAGGCGGCACUCUGGACAAAUACUGACGCUGAGACGCGAAAGCGUGGGGAGAAAACAGG
rnacentral:rRNA from 1 species